GACGAACGCUGGCGGCGUGCUUAACACAUGCAAGUCGAGCGGUAAGGCCCUUUCGGGGGUACACGAGCGGCGAACGGGUGAGUAACACGUGGGUGACCUGCCCUCAGCCCUGGGAUAAGCCUGGGAAACCGGGUCUAAUACCGGAUAUGACUCCAUGACGCAUGUUGUGGGGUGGAAAGCCUUGUGCGGCUGAGGAUGGGCCCGCGGCCUAUCAGCUUGUUGGUGGGGUGAUGGCCACCAAGGCGACGACGGGUAGCCGGCCUGAGAGGGCGACCGGCCACACUGGGACUGAGACACGGCCCAGACUCCUACGGGAGGCAGCAGUGGGGAAUCUUGCGCAAUGGGCGAAAGCCUGACGCAGCGACGCCGCGUGAGGGAUGACGGCCUC
rnacentral:rRNA from 1 species